CCUACGGGAGGCAGCAGUGAGGAAUAUUGGUCAAUGGGCGCGAGCCUGAACCAGCCAAGUAGCGUGAAGGAUGACUGCCCUACGGGUUGUAAACUUCUUUUAUAAAGGAAUAAAGUGAGGCACGUGUGCCUUUUUGUAUGUACUUUAUGAAUAAGGAUCGGCUAACUCCGUGCCAGCAGCCGCGGUAAUACGGAGGAUCAGAGUGUUAUCCGGACUUAUUGGGUUUAAAGGGAGCGUAGAUGGGUGGUUAAGUCAGUUGUAAAAGUUUGCGGUUCAAACCCUUCGAGCCGUUGAAAUUGGUGUUCUUGAGUGAGUGAGAAGUAUGCGGAAUGCGUGGUGUAGCGGUGAAAUGCAUAGAUAUCACGCAGAACUCCAGUGGCGAAGGCAGCAUACCGGCGCUCAACUGACGCUCAUGCGCGAAAGUGUGGGUAGCGAACAGGAUUAGAUACCCGAGUGGUC
rnacentral:rRNA from 1 species